ACGGGAGGCAGCAGUGGGGAAUAUUGCACAAUGGGGGAAACCCUGAUGCAGCGACGCCGCGUGAGUGAAGAAGUAUUUCGGUAUGUAAAGCUCUAUCAGCAGGGAAGAAAAUGACGGUGCCUGGCUAAGAAGCCCCGGCUAACUACGUGCCAGCAGCCGCGGUAAUACGUAGGGGGCAAGCGUUAUCCGGAUUUACUGGGUGUAAAGGGAGCGUAGACGGCGAUGCAAGUCUGAUGUGAAAUUCCGGGGCUCAACCCCGGCACUGCAUUGGAAACUGUGUUGCUAGAGUGCAGGAGAGGUAAGUGGAAUUCCUAGUGUAGCGGUGAAAUGCGUAGAUAUUAGGAGGAACACCAGUGGCGAAGGCGGCUUACUGGACUGUAACUGACGUUGAGGCUCGAAAGCGUGGGGAGCAAACAGGAUUAGAUACCCUGGUA
rnacentral:rRNA from 1 species